ACGGUUGACCUCGGAUCAGGUAGGAAUACCCGCUGAACUUAAGCAUAUCAAUAAGCCGGAGGA
rnacentral:rRNA from 1 species